AAUGGGGGAUGGGAUUCGUGGUUUAUGUCCCUUGAGGAGCAGUCCCAAAUUGUUUGCAACAAGGUGAAGAAAAUGAAAGAGCUAAAAGAGGGCUUCAACUUUGUUGGUCUCUCCCAGGGUAACUUAAUCGGGCGAGCAGUCGUAGAAUUCUGCGAUGGAGCGCCUCCUGUGAGAACCACUUUGAUUAUUUACCUUCUAGAUUGGUGUUUAUCAGCCUG